ensembl:lncRNA
GUAAGAAAUCAAAUGUACUGGGGGCCUGCAUGCCGUAACGUGCAGAAAGCCGGGAGUCGGCAGACCGCCGCACGGCGCGGUUAACUCUCCCGCUGCGGGAGCGCCGCGUGGAGCAGCAGAGCGCCGAGCGCCAUCCGCGGGACUGCGGCGCCGCCUGGAGCACACCCGGGGCCGCGCCGCCCCCGCUUCUCUCGGAGCCCGGGGGUGGUGGGUAAGGGACCGAUGGCUGCUCUGUUCAUUUUUACUCCCAUCCACAAGCCCAAGGGACUCCCUCAUUAGAAAGCCACAUGCUGUCCAAGUACAGGAAUGAAAGCUGCCAGUACAGAACUGGGAGGUCAGCAAUUCUGCCAAUGAGCUCAUCAGGGUCAGCGUGGAUUCUUCAUACACCCCAGCAGGUGUGAUGUGAGCUACAACAGUUCGUGCAGGACAAAAACAAGGCUACGCACAUUUAACCUCUUCUAAUAUUGCUAGGCCACCUUUCCUGCUUUCUGUCUUCCUUCACAGGAUACUAUUAAGAUCAUGCUUGCUCUUGUGGUAACCAUUGUUCAGUUCAGGUCUGUUCUGGAAGCACUGAAGGAGUUAAAAGAAUUUUAUUCCAAGGUAAAAUGUAAGGAAUUCUACUUACCUGUAACCUCAUUCAUGUCCAUCAGACUAUCUAAGUAAAAAAAAUUUUCACAUGUUCAGGUAGCACAUUAUGAGUUUCAAAUAACAGCAUGAAAUUGAGACAUUUUCAGCAGUGUGCCAGGAUCUGUUUGCAGAUACUGUAAAGUACUCUGUGGCUUGGGUCUCAGAGGAGAUAUCGGUUUCAAAACUGCAAGAUACAAGAUAAUGACAUAGUGCAAAAAGAAGCAAAGGAGCUGCAAGAGGCUAGAAAUGGUAACACACUAUUGUGUUAAUUCAGCUGUGGAGGAAUUUUCCUUUCAUUUUAUCUAAUUUAUUCUUGUGUUGGAGUAGUAAAACUUUUAUUGCAUUGAAAACAUUUGUUCUAGAAAAGAAAUGUAAAGAUUGUCUGUGAUAGCAGAGGUUCCUAAAUCAAGGAGAAAUAGAUUACAAAUUGGUGACAGCAGGUUACAAAUUGGUGACAGCAGGUAUGCUAUCCCAACAGUGUAGAUUUAACAAAUUACAUUUUAUGUUCACUUUUCUGAAGUAAGUGCUACCACCACAAAAGAGGUAAAUGAAUCAUCCUCUUGUCCCAUAGAUGUUAAAUUGUAUUAUUUAGCUUGGAAAUGAUCCACUCCCAGUGAGUAUUUUUUCUGGUCAGUGGCACUCAAUUCAUAUGUCCUCUUGUUUCUUACAAUUCUGACAAGAAUAUUAGGUUGUAAGUUUAUAAGCUAUCUACCUUAAAAAAUUAUUAAUAUGAAAACAUAAUUAUGUCAUUUACUAGGGAGCAAGCUUUAAGUAAUUUUGGCUUUGAAAAAUCAUUUAUAUUAAGAACACAAGCAUUACUUGAUGCAUAUCUUAAUUCAUAAUGAUUAUAAGGGUUGGUUUAAUGCUUAUGAAAAUUGUUAGGCUGGAAGAAAUUGAAAAUUAAAUCUUAUCUACAGACUGUAUAUAUCUCAAUUUCUCUCAGAAUUAUCCUUCAGAUUAUCGAGCUACAAAAAAUAACUUUAAGAAGGUGACAUGCAAUUUUGUCUUAUUUAUGUACAAAGGUUUUUGGCUUCAAUAGAAUUCUAUGGUUCUAUGAUUCUGUGAUUCAGUAUGCAUUAACAUCUUCAAAUAUUAAGGAAUGAUACUGCACCUUGUAAAAAUACAUUCAAAACAAGCAAAUGAAAAGCCAAUGAAGAAUUCAUCUCAGGAUGAAAAAAAUCUGGCUGAUGGCUGCUCUGAAAAGACUGCUUCAGUACUGGAUCAGUGGAUCCAGUUGUUACUGCUUUUCUAGAUUAUGAGACAGCUGUUAUUGGAGAUAUGUCUUCAUAUUGGUCUCAAUGAUAAAGGAACAAGAAAUCACAUUACUUCAGCCCUUGUUACGUCAUCAUCACCAGACCCAUAGAACUUUCAGAGAUAUCAGGAUUUACAGAAGGAUCUUCUAAUGAAGGAAAAAGCUAUUAAAUCAACAGAUCUUUGCAGAGAUGACUGAGAUUCUUCACUAUUUAAGCAAUUUUCAAGAGGAUUAUAUGGUGGCUUAAUUGCAGCUGUUACAUGCAAAACAAUUAGUCAGAUAACCAUGCUAGAAUUGGAAAUGUAAGAUGAUUUAAUUCUAGUGGUCUAAAAAGAAAAUUGCUUUGUUAUUUUGUGAGUAGUCUUAUCUCAUUUUCCAUUAUAACUUAAACUUUGAAUCCACCUUUCAAACAGUAUGCAAGGCAGUUCUUAAAUUAUAGCAAAGGUUUUAUUGUUGUUGCUGUUGUUUACCAGUUUUCAAAGUAUUUGGAAAAUGCAUUCCAGAGGGAAAUGCAAUCAUUUCUGUACAUAUUAUACACCUCCUAUUCACUAUAUUUGGCACCUGUCUACUUGGUAGGCCAAACAAAGCUUAUUCUCUAACAUAAAUGUGAAAAGCUGUGUAAGAGCUUUGUAAAAUUUUAAAAGCAUCAUUAAAGUUAAUCUAGAUCAGUACUCCUACUAUCAUAUGAUUCACACUAAAAAUGGACUUCUUACUCUGCAAUUUCAAGCUAACAUACAUUAAUGUCUAGGUAAGAAUGUUAUAAGAAAUGUCAAAACUUAUAACAGAAACAUUUCUAUGUAGAAUUUAAUUUACCCUUCCAUUUGACAUUCCAAAGAGUAGUUCUCAGAGGCAAUACAUGACCGUAUUUUGUAUUCUUACUGUGCACUUACCUUUUGAAUUAAAAAAAAAAAAAGACAACUUUUUAUGGAAAGAUAACUGUAAUCACAGUCAAGCAUUCUGUGCCUAGCUGUAUUUCUGUUUAUGAACAUAAUUUGGACCUCUUCCAUAUAAGGUUUCUGAACUGUUUGGUCACCUGGGGACAGAAGGAUUUGAGUCCUCAGUUGCAUGAUCACCCAGAGAGCUAUCAUUUCUUGAAGCACCAUAAUGAUAUUUGUAAAACGUAAGUCUGACUAUUCUGACACUUAAAAUAAUUUUGAAGUGUGCAUGAGGUAACUAGCAGGGAAACGGAAAUAGCAAGAAGUUUGACAACUGUAUGUGAGGUUUCUGACUUCAUGAAUCCAAUAACUGCAUUUUUGAAGGGUUUCUGCAUAUAAACUGUAUGAUCAGAUAAGAUAGUGGUAACUUCCAUGUUUUCCCUGAAAAACAAAACAAAACAAACAAACAAACAAAAACUUUCACAAUUUACUCUAAUUCUUAUCAAGUAAACCAAAGAAAUCUAAAAAAAUAUAAGGUAUGGUAAAUUCAAAACUGAGCCACUUAUUCUCUCUUAUUUGCAGAACACAGUUAGCAGCAAGUGUCACAAAUAGGGAAGACAAAGAGAAGAGUCUGUCUUCAACUUUUUAGGAAGAUCUAACACUAAGGUAGCACUAAGACAACAAAGUACUACAGGGCAAAAUUGUAAAGUGAAACAGAAUAAUUUUCAAUCUUGACAAUGAGGAAUUCCAAUCAGUGAUCAUAAAACUAGGUAGAACAGCAAAGUGACAGGUUUAUGACAAUGUAGACAACUGCAAUGCAAAACACUUUUGAAAGAUUUUGCCCUUCAAAAUGUGUCUUUCUCUAUGAGUUAUUCCAAUCAGGAUAGAAAUUCCAUACAGAGAUUCUUGACAACAAUUUGAAAACAGACACUAAAAAAACACUAAAAAUACCAUAACUGUCCAAAUAAGAAGAAAUUAUUCAAAAUGAAAUACCUGCAAAUAUUAAGCUGGAUAUAAAAAAUAUGAUAUUCUAAUGUUCUUUUAUUUAUCUUGUGAUAAAUGCACACAUAUCUCCCUAUUGAUGGCCUCUACAUGAAAAGCAAAAUAAAAUAAAAAGAUAAAUAACUAUUUUUCAAGGAUAUGCUUGUAAGAAAACUGCUAUAAGUAUGGAGCCAUAAAAUCUGUAGAAGACAUAACAUUAAUAAACAUUACAUUAGUUUAUUUUGUGUUAUUCUGUUUCUGAAAUAAUAAAUAUCAUAAGAAUAUGAAUGGAUAAAUCUGUCUACUUUUUUGCCUUAAUUAACUAGCCAG